UACGGGGGGGGGCAAGCGUUGUUCGGAAUUACUGGGCGUAAAGGGCUCGUAGGCGGCCAACUAAGUCAGACGUGAAAUCCCUCGGCUUAACCGGGGAACUGCGUCUGAUACUGGAUGGCUUGAGAUUGGGAGAGGGAUGCGGAAUUCCAGGUGUAGCGGUGAAAUGCGUAGAUAUCUGGAGGAACACCGGUGGCGAAGGCGGCGUCCUGGACCAACACUGACACUGAGGAGCGAAAGCCAGGGGAGCAAACGGG
rnacentral:rRNA from 1 species